CGGGAUGUAGCGCAGUUUGGUAGCGCGCCUGCUUUGGGAGCAGGAUGUCGUCGGUUCAAAUCCGGCCAUCCCGA
rnacentral:tRNA from 2 species